rnacentral:rRNA from 1 species
UACAGAGGUCUCAAGCGUUGUUCGGAUUCAUUGGGCGUAAAGGGUGCGUAGGCGGCGCGGUAAGUCGGAUGUGAAAUCUUGGAGCUUAACUCCGAAACUGCAUUCGAUACUGCCGUGCUUGAGGACUGGAGAGGAGACUGGAAUUUACGGUGUAGCGGUGAAAUGCGUAGAUAUCGUAAGGAAGACCAGUGGCGAAGGCGGGUCUCUGGGCAGUAACUGACGCUGAGGAGCGAAAGCGUGGGGAGCGAACAGG